rnacentral:rRNA from 1 species
AACGAACGCUGGCGGCAGGCCUAACACAUGCAAGUCGAAAGGAUGUAGCAAUACAUUAGUGGCGCACGGGUGCGUAACACGUGGGAAUGUACCCCAGGGUAAGGAAUAAUGUCUGGAAACGGACACUAAUACCUUAUAAUGACUUUGGUCCAAAGAUUUAUCGCCCUGGGAUCAGCCCGCGCCUGAUUAGCUAGUUGGUGAGGCAAUGGCUCACCAAGGCUACGAUCAGUAGCUGGUCUGAGAGGAUGAUCAGCCACACUGGAACUGAGACACGGUCCAGACUCCUACGGGAGGCAGCAGUGAGGAAUAUUGCAAAAUGGAGGAAACUCUGAUGCAGCCAUGCCGCGUGAGUGAAGAAGGCCUUCGGGUUGUAAAGCUCUUUUAGUCGUGAAGAUAAUGACGGUAGCGACAGAAAAAGCCCCGGCUAAAUUCGUGCCAGCCGCCGCGGUAA